rnacentral:rRNA from 1 species
AUCAUGGCUCAGGACGAACGCUGGCGGCGUGCCUAAUACAUGCAAGUCGUACGCUUCUUUUUCCACCGGAGCUUGCUCCACCGGAAAAAGAAGAGUGGCGAACGGGUGAGUAACACGUGGGUAACCUGCCCAUCAGAAGGGGAUAACACUUGGAAACAGGUGCUAAUACCGUAUAACAAUCGAAACCGCAUGGUUUUGAUUUGAAAGGCGCUUUCGGGUGUCGCUGAUGGAUGGACCCGCGGUGCAUUAGCUAGUUGGUGAGGUAACGGCUCACCAAGGCCACGAUGCAUAGCCGACCUGAGAGGGUGAUCGGCCACAUUGGGACUGAGACACGGCCCAAACUCCUACGGGAGGCAGCAGUAGGGAAUCUUCGGCAAUGGACGAAAGUCUGACCGAGCAACGCCGCGUGAGUGAAGGAGGUUUUCGGAUCGUAAAACUCUGUUGUUAGAGAAGAACAAGGAUGAGAGUAACUGUUCAUCCCUUGACGGUAUCUAACCAGAAAGCCACGGCUAACUACGUGCCAGCAGCCGCGGUAAUACGUAGGUGGCAAGCGUUGUCCGGAUUUAUUGGGCGUAAAGCGAGCGCAGGCGGUUUCUUAAGUCUGAUGUGAAAGCCCCCGGCUCAACCGGGGAGGGUCAUUGGAAACUGGGAGACUUGAGUGCAGAAGAGGAGAGUGGAAUUCCAUGUGUAGUGGUGAAAUGCGUAGAUAUAUGGAGGAACCACCAUGGCGAACGCGGCUCUUUGGUCUGUAACUGACGCUGAGGCUCGAAAGCGUGGGGAGCAAACAGGAUUAGAUACCCUGGUAGUCCACGCCGUAAACGAUGAGUGCUAAGUGUUGGAGGGUUUCCGCCCUUCAGUGCUGCA